rnacentral:lncRNA from 1 species
GAGACACUCAGGGUGACUCAAUGGUAGUAAGUGGGUUUGUACCUGGGUCUUCUGGUUCAUAGGUGGUGCGGCGCCCCCUCUAUAGGCCACCUGUGGUACUGCACCUGACCCAACUGCGCGUUCUCGAUGGGCUGAUGAUCACACUGGAGGAGAGAACCAGAGCAGAACUGCUGAACACAGAAACACAGGCCAACACCUCUGCAGAGGAACAUUAUCAUCGGGCAACAGCAGCAUUUGGAUGAAACAAACACAGGUCCACUACACACACACACAUGCUCAAACAUCCAACACACUCCAUCCAGCAGUCACAGCGCUACUGGAAGUAAAUAUCUCCUGCAUGACAACAGGUCAUAU